AUUGAACGCUGGCGGCAGGCCUAACACAUGCAAGUCGAGCGAGCGGCGGACGGGUGAGUAAUGUCUGGGAAACUGCCUGAUGGAGGGGGAUAACUACUGGAAACGGUAGCUAAUACCGCAUACCAUCAGAUGUGCCCAGAUGGGAUUAGCUAGGUGGUGGGGUAAAGGCCUACCAAGGCGACGAUCCGUCACUGGUCUGAGAGGAUGAUCAGCCACACUGGAACUGAGACACGGUCCAGACUCCUACGGGAGGCAGCAGUGGGGAAUAUUGCACAAUGGGCGCAAGCCUGAUGCAGCCAUGCCGCGUGUGUGAAGAAGGCCUUCGGGUUGUAAAGCACUUUCAGCGGGGAGGCGUUACCCGCAGAAGAAGCACCGGCUAACUCCGUGCCAGCAGCCGCGGUAAUAC
rnacentral:rRNA from 1 species